GAGCGCGAAAGGNACUUCGGUGCCGAUUAGAGCGGCGCACGGGUGAGUAACGCGUGGCCAACCUGCCCCCGGGACCGGGACAACCCUUUGAAAGGAGGGCUAAUACCGGAUGACACCCAGAUCACGGGAUCGGGGUUGAAAGCUCCGGCGCCCGGGGAGGGGGCCGCGUCCCAUCAGCUAGCCGGUGAGGUGAAGGCUCACCGGGGCGACGACGGGUAGCGGGUCUGAGAGGACGAUCCGCCACACUGGCACUGAGACACGGGCCAGACUCCUGCGGGAGGCAGCAGUGGGGAAUCUUGCGCAAUGGGGGGAACCCUGACGCAGCGAUGCCGCGUGGGUGAAGAAGGCCCUCGGGUCGUAAAGCCCUUUUGGCGGGGAGGAUGAUGACGUCACCCGCCGAAUAAGCUCCGGCUAACUACGUGCCAGCAGCCGCGGUAAUACGUAGGGAGCGAGCGUUGUCCGGAAUUACUGGGCGUAAAGGGCGCGCAGGUGGGUUUGCAAGCGGGGGGUGAAAGGCCGGGGCUCAACCCCGGGACUGCUCCCCGAACUGCAAGCCUUGAGGGGGUCAGGGGCCAGCGGAAUUCCGGGUGGAGAGGUGAAAUUCGUAGAGAUCCGGAGGAACGCCGGCGGCGAAAGCGGCUGGCUGGGGCCGCCCUGACACUGAGGCGCGAGAGCGUGGGGAGCAAACAGGAUUAGAUACCCUGGUAGUCCACGCCGUAAACGAUGGGUACCGGGUGUCCGGGGGGUCGACCCCCCUGGGCGCCGCAGCUAACGCGAUGANUACCCCGCCUGGGGAGUACGGCCGCA
rnacentral:rRNA from 1 species